GGGCUCGUGGCGGAAUUGGCAGACGCAGCGGCCUUAAAAGCCGCAGUUCCAAAGGAACGUGUGGGUUCGAGUCCCACCGAGCCCA
rnacentral:tRNA from 1 species